rnacentral:other from 1 species
ACCCUGCCAUGCGCGUGAUUGAACAGAACCCCUUGACCCAACACCUACAAAACAGGGAGCCUUCACUGGUUUUGGUGUGCAAGUUCCGCGCGUACGGAAAAGCCUAAAGAAGCUAUAAGGCGCCCACCUAUAAGAGCCGGAUCAAGGCUCUUUCAACACGGCGUGGCGGGGGC